AUUGAACGCUGGCGGCAGGCCUAACACAUGCAAGUCGAACGGUAGCACAGAGAGCUUGCUCUUGGGUGACGAGUGGCGGACGGGUGAGUAAUGUCUGGGAAACUGCCCGAUGGAGGGGGAUAACUACUGGAAACGGUAGCUAAUACCGCAUAACGUCUUCGGACCAAAGUGGGGGACCUUCGGGCCUCACACCAUCGGAUGUGCCCAGAUGGGAUUAGCUAGUAGGUGGGGUAAUGGCUCACCUAGGCGACGAUCCCUAGCUGGUCUGAGAGGAUGACCAGCCACACUGGAACUGAGACACGGUCCAGACUCCUACGGGAGGCAGCAGUGGGGAAUAUUGCACAAUGGGCGCAAGCCUGAUGCAGCCAUGCCGCGUGUAUGAAGAAGGCCUUCGGGUUGUAAAGUACUUUCAGCGGGGAGGAAGGCGGUAAGGUUAAUAACCUUGCCGAUUGGCGUUACCCGCAGAAGAAGCACCGGCUAACUCCGUGCCAGCCGCCGCAGUAAGAC
rnacentral:rRNA from 1 species